GGGGUGGAGGUGGAGUUUAGUGUAACAGCCAAUAGAAAUAGGAAAACUCAAGGGGGCGGUGCUUGGGCGUGGCUCGAAGGCCCUCCCAACCUCUUUAAAAGGAGCGCACCCACCGGGGUCCAGGGUACAAAUGGGAGUCUCUCUUCUCAGCACCCUCUGCGUUUGGAGCAACCUUUGAAGGAAUUCGAGAAGCUUUGCAUUAUUCACACCUUGACCAAAAGGACCACUCAGUACUGUCCUCAAGAAACGGAUUUUCAGUAAACUUUUUCAAGACCCAAAGACUGGAGCAUGGGGCAUGGUGGCACAUUUUCAUAAGGCAUCAGACAGGUUUGCUCCCCACCAUUACAGAAAACCAUAAAGCUCAUUUGAAGAAGACUUGA
rnacentral:lncRNA from 1 species